AGCAGCCGCGGUAAUUCCAGCUCCAAUAGCGUAUAUUAAAGUUGUUGCAGUUAAAAAGCUCGUAGUUGAAUUUCGGGAUCAAAUUGCUGGUCGUGCCUCGGUACGCACUGGCAUUAUUGGUUCCUACCUUCUGAAGAAUCGCGAUGUCAUUAAUUUGGUGUCGUGGGGAAUCAGGACUGUUACUUUGAAAAAUUAGAGUGUUUAAAGCAGGCUUACGCUUGAAUACAUUAGCAUGGAAUAAUGAAAUAGGACGUUUGAUUCUAUUUUGUUGGUUUCUAGGAUUGACGUAAUGAUUAAUAGGGAUAGUUGGGGGCAUUAGUAUUCAAUUGUCAGAGGUGAAAUUCUUGGAUUUAUUGAAGACUAACUACUGCGAAAGCAUUUGCCAAGGAUGUUUUCAUUAAUCAAGAACGAAAGUUAGGGGAUCGAAGACGAUCAGAUACCGUCGUAGUC
rnacentral:rRNA from 1 species